rnacentral:lncRNA from 1 species
AUUUCGGGUGACUUUGGCCCGCCAGGGUGACUUUGGCUCAUUUUGGGAAAAAUAUAUUUUAGCAACUAGGGCAAUUGUACAAUAAAUUAUCAAGUAAAUUUCAUUAUACCGCACCAUCAGUACCAUAUGAACUGUUUGAAAAUUUUAAUAAAUUAUGCUAAUACUUGUUAUGUCACGAAAAAAACGAAUUUCUAAAAUUUGGUCAUUCCACAUAAGAUUUUUUGACUGCAAAAAUUGGUUGGCAACCAAUAAUACUUCCAAGAGUAAGAUUAAUUGCAUAGUGGCAUAUUGAAAAUCUGUGAAUUCUUAACCUCCGUACAUCGUUAUUUCAGUCUAAACAUAGACAGUAAGACGGUCGGAUAUUAUUUUGCAAGGUGCUACAAAAUUUAACGGUUUUCGGGUGACUUUGUCCCAGUUUGUUGAUUGUUGGAUUUUGGUCAUUGGUUGCUUCUAUAUUAAAUUAAAAUACUUCGUCUAAUUCUUCAUUUAGUGAGAGCUAUAGGGAUAAUGAAGAUCUACAUAAGCUUUCCAUUGGAGUUGGAGACUUCGUAAUUGUAUCUGACUACUUUGACAGCUUUCCAGGAAAAUUCGAUGGAUUUGUAAGAGGUAGUAAUAACUGUUACGGUUGGGUGCAAGUAAUGGUACUGGGUGAAAGAAGUUUAUGGCAAUGGCCCGAAGUCUCCGUAAGAAAAUCCUACCACUUGGCUAAUGUUGAUUUCACUGAGCCAUUGGAACUUGUAGAUAACCGAUAUUUCUUUCCAGAUUUAAAAAAAAGCUUGUAAAUCGUUUUAUUGUUCAUUUUUUGUUAAGAAAUGAUGUUUUUUGUUAACCUAGGGUCCUAUGUAAAGUUUCAUGUUAGUUUUAGUUUUUCAUUGUUUGAAAUUUAAAUAAAUUUUUUUCACCUAACAAAA